AUUGAACGCUGGCGGAAUGCUUUACACAUGCAAGUCGAACGGCAGCACGGGGGCAGCCCUGGUGGCGAGUGGCGAACGGGUGAGUAAUACAUCGGAACGUGCCCGGUCGUGGGGGAUAACGUAGCGAAAGUUAUGCUAAUACCGCAUACGAUCUGAGGAUGAAAGCGGGGGACCUUCGGGCCUCGCGCGAUCGGAGGGGCCGACGUCGGACUAGGUAGUUGGUGGGGUAAAGGCCUACUAAGCCGACGAUCUGUAGCUGGUCUGAGAGGACGACCAGCCACACUGGGGCUGGGCCACGGCCCAGGCUCCUGCGGGAGGCAGCAGUGGGGAAUGUUGGGCAAUGGGCGCGAGCCUGGUCCAGCCAUUCCGCGUGCAGGGCGAAGGCCUUCGGGUUGUAAACUGCUUUUGUGCGGAGCGAAAAGGCUCUGGCUGAUACGUGGGGCUCAUGACGGUACCGGAAGAAUAAGCACCGGCUAACUACGUG
rnacentral:rRNA from 1 species